AUGAUGAUGGGCUGCAGUUUGGCUCCACUGGUCUGGUGUAGAACAGGAUCUCUGGAGGCUGUUUGCAACUGUGGUCACAAAAUUCAAUGUUCUGGGAGAAUUGGAAGCAGCUCAAUUUUUUUGGGGGCCCCUUACACAGCUCAAGGUCUGGGCCCCAGGGCCUGACGGUGAGUAUGCCCAUAAGGCCCACUCAUAAGUUCCACCCACCCAUGAGUUGGCUCACAGGGAGUGGAG
rnacentral:lncRNA from 1 species